rnacentral:rRNA from 1 species
GCGGCAGUCUACACAUGCAGUCGAGCGGAUGAGAGGAGCUUGCUCCUGGAUUCAGCGGCGGACGGGUGAGUAAUGCCUAGGAAUCUGCCUGGUAGUGGGGGACAACGUUUCGAAAGGAACGCUAAUACCGCAUACGUCCUACGGGAGAAAGCAGGGGACCUUCGGGCCUUGCGCUAUCAGAUGAGCCUAGGUCGGAUUAGCUAGUUGGUGAGGUAAUGGCUCACCAAGGCGACGAUCCGUAACUGGUCUGAGAGGAUGAUCAGUCACACUGGAACUGAGACACGGUCCAGACUCCUACGGGAGGCAGCAGUGGGGAAUAUUGGACAAUGGGCGAAAGCCUGAUCCAGCCAUGCCGCGUGUGUGAAGAAGGUCUUCGGAUUGUAAAGCACUUUAAGUUGGGAGGAAGGGUUGUAGAUUAAUACUCUGCAAUUUUGACGUUACCGACAGAAUAAGCACCGGCUAACUCUGUGCCAGCAGCCGCGGUAAUACAGAGGGUGCAAGCGUUAAUCGGAAUUACUGGGCGUAAAGCGCGCGUAGGUGGUUUGUUAAGUUGGAUGUGAAAUCCCCGGGCUCAACCUGGGAACUGCAUCCAAAACUGGCAAGCUAGAGUAUGGUAGAGGGUGGUGGAAUUUCCUGUGUAGCGGUGAAAUGCGUAGAUAUAGGAAGGAACACCAGUGGCGAAGGCGACCACCUGGACUGAUACUGACACUGAGGUGCGAAAGCGUGGGGAGCAAACAGGAUUAGAUACCCUGGUAGUCCACGCCGUAACGAUGUCAACUAGCCCGUUGGGAGCCUUGAGCUCUUAGUGCGCAGCUAACGCAUUAAGUUGACCGCCUGGGGAGUACGGCCGC